UACGAAGGGGGCAAGCGUUGUUCGGAAUUACUGGGCGUAAAGGGCGCGUAGGCGGCUUAUCAAGUCAGGCGUGAAAUUCCCGGGCUCAACCUGGGGGCUGCGCUUGAUACUGAUGAGCUUGAAUGCGGGAGAGGAUAGUGGAAUUCCCAGUGUAGAGGUGAAAUUCGUAGAUAUUGGGAAGAACACCGGUGGCGAAGGCGGCAUUCUGGACCGAAACUGACGCUGAUGCGCGAAAGCCAGGGGAGCAAACGGGG
rnacentral:rRNA from 1 species